AUUCAUUAUUCAAGCACAAUCCUACAAUUUUGUCUCGGACUCGUAUACAAUACCGGACUCCAGUGGUCGUGUGUGUUAAUAUCGCUCGAGACAGCAACCCCUUUGCUUUGGCGCUCUAUGUAAACAACAAAUUCCCUCUUCUUUUCCCGACGCUUCCAACUCUACGGAUUGUAUUUUACUCUUUCCCAUCCCUCUACAUCCUGCUGCUAUUAAGCCCUCAUAUUACACAUAUAAACACAUAUAUACUGUAAUAACUAAUUGAGAGCAAAAAGAUGGUUGAUACAAGAAAAGAGCUGUUGGAUAGAUGGAGAGGCAUUGAAGAGGAAGACGAAAACGACGACGUUGAUACACCGAUUGCUUCUAACAAACGACGUCGUCUCCGCCAACUCAAAGAGAACUGGUUUUCAGAUGCAUUUAGCUUUUUGACUCAUUUGCCAAAAGAAGAUCACAUUUGGUGUGGUUCUCGGGAUUUAAUGGGACCACUUCUAGAAACAUUUUAUAAUUAUUUUGAAGAUAAACGUCAAGAUUCUCCCCUCAAGAUUUUGUGGAAAAGGAUUUCUGAGGAAUUAAGUCAGUGCACACAGUGUAUUUGCCAGCACCAUCAAGCCCAAGAGAGUUACAGUAUGGAGUAUGACUCCAUUACAGUUGGCCCACUUGUUUCUGUCUUGCAAACACUCGAUGAAGAAAGGGUCACUGAACACUUAAAAGAAAUUAAUGCUAAAAUUGGUCGGGGCGAGUAUGAUCCAGCUCGUGUCAAUGCUGAAGUUGUUAGCAUCAUGUUUGAGAUCCUGAUGUAUCCCAUCUUAUUGGAUGACCAAUCAUUGGUUGCUGAGUUUCAAAUUUUUAUUGAAGCAGUUGAUAAUUCUCAUGAGCUCACGUUAGCCGGACAUCAGCGAUAUCCGGGAAUUUAUGCUCUACUUUUCCUGAAAUGUAGAAGGGCAAGGUCCAUUGGUUUCCGACUAGCUGCACAUGCAGGAAAAUUGAGAGAAGCAUCAGAAUUAGAAGGUCUACACCCUUUGCUCCAGAGGUACAUAGGUUUCUUGGAAACAGAAGUAGUUCCAUCAACUACCAAGAGUAAUAGGCCAAGGGUUGAGCUGGAGCGAACAACCAUAUGGCAUGGAAUCAAGUCCUUGCUCGGAUUUUUAGAACCUCCUGCAUUCGAAGAGGGAAUCUUGGAGCACUACCCUGACUUUCUGAGUAUAGUACUUAACCAUAUAAGUGAUGAUUCAUUGGAAUUUUCAUAUGCAGUAAAUUGCCUGAAAAACCUCUUUGGAAUGCUUGGAUGUAAGCUUUGGUUAACGGCAAUAUUGUCUCCAAGUGUAAUCCAUAACACACUGUUGAGUCAGUGUUUUCACACUCGAAAUGAGAAAAGUCACAAAGAUAUUUUUGAUCUUUUUGAGCCUUUUCUGCAGUCCCUCGAAGCUUUGCAAGAUGGAGAACAUGAAAAACAAAGGAGAAAAUGCCUUUUUUUCCUGCUACACCAAGUGACUGUCAGCAGUAACUUCAGCAAGUUAAUGAGGAAAAAGGCUUGUCAGAUAGCUCUUCGCAUUGUCCUUCGAGGUUACCAAAUGAAUCCACCUUGCCCUCCAUUUGAAUGUGCGCAUAUGUGGGGUCCAUCUCUUGUGUCUACUCUCAGAGACACAUCACUUCAUAGUUCUCUUCAGCAACCCGCAUAUGAUCUUAUUCAAACCAUCAUAGUGUCUGAUGCUGCAGCAUUAGUAGCUGCAAUGCUGAAUAGCCAAAGACGUCUAGGUAUUAACAGAAACAUGUCAUCUGAGUUCAAUGAUGAAGUUGAAGAUGAAGAUCAAGGGCUGCCCUUUGCCCUUAAUUUGGAUGAGGAUAUUAGUUGUUGGAAUGAGUUUAGUGCACGGGGUAAAAUUGCAGCAACGGAUUCUGAGUACUGGAUGUGCAUUCCAAUGCUAUGGGCUGAUGUGCUAGUUGAUACUACUCCCUCAGUGCUUCCUCUAUCCUUUUCUAAGGCAGUGUUUUGGGCUUUAUCUCGUCUUUCUAUGGUGGAACCUCCUAGUAAUACCGAAAUGGCUCUGCCAGUUAGACACUGGUUGACAACAUGUGCUUCGGAAAUUUCUCAUCUCUUUGGGUGGAAGGUUCCAUGCAGUUCAGACGAUGGUGGAAAUGAGAAAGAGUCAAAGAACUCAGCUAAAGUCUCAACACUUAGUAUUGCUUUCGUCAGAUCAUUCAAGAGGUUAAGUACUCAUUACAUUGGUCGAAUGGAUCAUGAAGAACUUUGGAGGCAGUGGGCAUGGGAACCAAGGAUGGGUGAAAGCUUAAUCCUGUUGCUAGUGGAACCUGAAGAUAAUGUUAGGCAAGUUGCAAGGCGUGUCCUCGAAAAGGUUUCACAAAGGCGCACUCUUGGUUCUGGCUUGCAGUUCCUUUGCUCCUUCAAAUCUUCACUGUUAGCUGUUUAUCUAGGUUUGAGACAUGCCCUGAAACUGGUUCAACUGGAAUCUGUUGUAUCUAAAUUCCACACAUUACAUAAUUUCUUUUUUGUUCUGUGCAAAGUGCUUAAGGAAGGAAUUACAUGCAACGAAGCCUUACCUGGAAAUAUAGCUGAUGGUGCAAGUACCUCGAGGUUUUCUAAUGAUGGUGGAUUUUUGCAGCACCCAGUUUUUGAUUCUAUAGCUAACAAUUUUGAGGGGCAUCUGUUUGAUGUUGAUUCAUCAACAUGGGAAAGGUUUGGUUGUUCACUAUCAGCAGUUGCGUGGCCUUCUAUUUUAAGGUGUUUGGCAGAUGGAAAGGCAUUUAUAGAUUUGAAGAUGUCCCAGAUGACAUGCAUUCGCCUACUUGAAACGUUACCUAUUAUAUUUGAAAGGCUCCAGUCUUCACUUCACAGCUGUUUGGGAAAUCAAAGAAUACUGGUCAAGCAUGAGAUUGAUUUUAAGUGGCUUCUUGAUUUGGUGGACUGGGGAAAGUCAACACUUGCUGUUGUUGUUAGGUACUGGAAACAGACAGUCAUUUCUUUGCUUGAUUUUUUGAAGAGUUCCUCUGGCAAUAAUUCCUCUGCGAUGAUCAAGGCUAUUGAAAUACUUAUCAGUUCUGAAAGUGUUGCAAUGGAGAAGUUAAUAGAGCAAGUAUUACGUCUGUCUGUUUCAUUGGUCAAUGAAGGAAUGAAGUUGGAACCUCUAUAUUCUGAAGCCUCGUUGUCUAAAAAGCCUACAAAUCGACUUGAACGAUUACUUUCUUCCGAAAAAUCAGACCUACCAAUUUUAGACUCAACAACAUUGAUUAACAAGGAGGAAAAUAAGGUGAUAGUCCUUUCUGAUGAUGAUUUGGAUCCAGAAAUUUCUGCCAACGUUAAUAUUGACUCUCUGUCAAAUCAGUCUAAGCUGGAUUGUAGUAUAAUGGAUAAUAGUGCUUCUGAUAUAUCUCCGCAAAGUAUAUUCGCCCGUGAAAAUGUUUCCAGCAGCAGUAAUUCAGCAGAAAUUAUGAAAGAUUUUCAUCGUAAAGGUUCUCAGGAUCCUUCCAACUUUGUUUCCCAGAAGCUAGAGUCAGAUGCAAAGGGAUGUGUACAAGGACAGACAUCUCAAAUCAAACCAAAAUCUAUGGAAAGCACAAGUAGAAAGACGAAUCCCAACUCGACCAAAAAUGAUUCCUUGAUCUCUCAGAACAAAUCGAAGUUUAAACACCAUUCUGAGAUUAUAACCAGUAAAAAGAUCAUUGAUUGUUUUUCAUCUCAACCCGAGUCCAAUAUAAAUAGCUCAUCACAUGAAAAUACCGAUGUCAACAUAGUGGAUCGACAAGGCAUCAAAAAGGUUGGAAAAGCUGCUAGGACAGUUAUAAGGGAGGUGGUUCAUGAAGCUGAAAAUGAUCCACUGGAAUUAGCACUAAGAUCAGCAUGUCGUCAACAGGCCGUUAUGUCAAAAUUUAACGGUGUUGGUGCGAAACGGCAAGUUAUACAACUGGACUUACCUGUACAAAAUAGAUAUGGGUAUAUACAUAGGCCAGAUAGUUUGCAAAAUCGGUUCAAGCCACCAAAGCUUGAUGAUUGGUAUAAACCCAUUCUAGAACUUGAUUAUCUGGCAAGUGUGGGAUUAGCAGCUCCAGAUGAAGAGGAAAGUAAAACUUCGUGCAUUUUAAAAGAGGUCCCUGUUUGUUUUCAAUCGCCUGGUGAAUAUGUUUCCAUACUCCAGCCUUUGGUACUGGAAGAGUUUAAAGCACAACUACAGAGUUCCUUUAUGGACACGUCUUUUCCUGAGAUGCGUUGCGGAAGCUUAUCUGUGUUGUCAAUUGAGAGAGUCGAUGUCUUUCAUAUAAUUCGCGGUGUUUGCGAUGAGAUUGAUUCCUGUGGACCAAACAGUUGUGUUGAAAAUGAUCUUAUUUUACUCACGAAACAACAAUUACAAAAUGGUUAUCGUGAUGUGCACAUAAUUGGAAAGGUGGAAAGACUUGAGAAAGACAAUAAAAGAAGAUCUAAUACCCUUAUAAUCAGGUUGUAUCUUCAAAAUGGGAAUUCUCGAUUAGAUCGAGCUAGAAAGCUUCUCCUUGUACGAAGCAAGUGGUUCAUUAAUCGCCUUUUGAGCAUCACACCUCAACUAAGGGAAUUUCAGGCGUUAUCAUCAAUAAAGAAUAUACCUCUGCUUCCUAUAAUCUUAAAUCCUAUCAAUUGUCGUAACAAUGUUGGUGAAUCUAGGAAAAGAUAUUCUACUCCGCUGUCCCAGCCAUUGCAGCAAAUUUUGAAAGCGUCAUAUAAUGAUAGUCAAAUUCAAGCAAUUGACUGUUGCAUUGGAUCACUAGAUUUAAACUUGGAUUUUAAUUUGUCUCUUGUACAGGGUCCUCCAGGUACUGGGAAGACUCGGACUAUUGUAGCGAUUGUCAGUGGUCUGCUUGCUUUACACCGAACAAAUGAGAAGAACAGGGAAAAUCGUAGUAAAAAAUGUGACACUUUUUCUGGCACUAGUUCAAGGACGCAUAUUAGUCAGUCUGCUGCAAUUGCAAGGGCCUGGCAAGAUGCAGCACUGGCCCGACAAAUGAAUGACAAUGAAGAAAAGAAUUGUAAACCUAAGGGUAGCACAAGCGGAAGGGUGUUAAUUUGUGCACAAUCCAAUGCCGCUGUUGAUGAAUUAGUAUCAAGAAUAUGCGCUGAAGGUUUAUAUGGUAAUGAUGGAUUGAUGUACAAGCCAUAUCUUGUUAGGGUUGGUAAUGCAAAAACAGUUCAUCCGAAUUCACUUCCUUAUUUUAUCGACACACUUGUUGAAAAUCGUAUGGCCCAGGAGAGGAUGAAUGCUAGUGUACCAGGGAAGGACACAAGUGCGGAUUCUUCAACAGUUCUGCGUUCUAAACUUGAAAAGCUAGUGGACCGUAUUCAGUUCUAUGAAGAGAAGCGUGCUAAUUUAGGGGAGGGAAACUCUGGCUCAAAAAUGUUGCCUGAAGUUGAUAGUGCAAAGGAAAUGUGUGAUGCAGAAAUUGGAGCAAGGUUGAGAAAAUUAUAUGUGGACAAAAAGGCAGUCUAUACUGAUCUUGCUGCUGCUCAGGCAAGAGAGAAGAAACUGAAUGAAGAAAGCAGAGCUCUUAAACAUAAACUGAGGAAAUCUAUUUUAAAGGAAGCUGAAAUUGUGGUAACUACAUUAAGUGGCUGUGGUGGAGAUCUAUAUACAGUUUGCGCGGAGUCCAUUUCAAACCAUAAGUUUGGCUCCCCAAAUGAACAUACUUUGUUCGAUGCUGUAGUGAUUGAUGAAGCUGCUCAAGCUUUAGAGCCUGCCACUCUGAUUCCCCUCCAGCUGUUGAAAUCAAAGGGGACCAAGUGUAUCAUGGUCGGGGAUCCAAAGCAGCUUCCAGCAACCGUAAUCUCUAACAUCGCGAGUAAAUAUAUGUAUCAGUGCAGUAUGUUUGAACGUUUACAAAGGGCUGGUCAUCCUGUCCUUAUGCUUACUAAACAGUAUAGGAUGCACCCAGAGAUCUGCAGAUUUCCUUCUCUACAUUUUUAUGAUGGCAAGUUGUUAAAUGGAGACAAUAUGUCUGUCAAUGAACUGUCAUUCCAUAAGGCUAAAGCUCUUGGACCAUAUGUAUUCUUUGAUAUUGUUGAUGGACAGGAGCUUCGCGGUAAGAAUUCUGGCGCAUCGUCCUUCUACAAUGAGUCUGAGGCUGAUGCUGCAGUUGUAUUACUCAGUUUUUUUAAACAGAGGUACCCAUCUGAAUUUAUGGGGGUAAGGAUUGGCAUAGUAACUCCUUACAAGAGUCAACUUUCCCUAUUGCGCUCCCGAUUAUCUAAUAGAUUUGGAUCUUCGGUGACUGCUGUAAUGGAAUUUAAUACUGUUGAUGGCUUUCAAGGACGGGAGGUUGAUAUACUAAUUCUUUCUACAGUCAGAGCAUCUAAAUCAUGUUCUGCAGAACUUAAGAUACACUCGCGAAAUAUUGGGUUUGUUGCUGAUGUAAGGCGGAUGAAUGUUGCUCUGACUAGAGCCAAAUUUUCUCUCUGGAUUUUGGGUCAUGCUAAAACGUUGAUGACAAACAAGAACUGGGAAGCUCUCCUUAAGGAUGCCAAAAAGAGAAAUUUGGUGAUAUCAAGUAAACAGCCAUAUGAUGCAAUCUUUAGGUCAGCUCGGAAUGAUAGUUCAGUUUUAGAAUGUUAUGAUGACCAUUCUAUACAUUUGAAGCAUACUCAAGAGGCCAAAGAAGUUGGCUGGCAUGCUGAAGAACAAUCAAGAUAUGCAAAGAGUUCCUAUGCGAAGAAAAGAAGGUCCACGAGUUCUAAUGCUUUGAAGAAUAUAAGAGAAGAUAAAAAUACUUCUCUAUCGAGGGAAGCUGGUAAAGCAAACAGUACAAAAGCCAAAAGUGAUAAUUUAUCAGCAAAAAAGGAUAUCAAGUCUGACAUUACAGCACACUCAAAAGGUGAUAAAACUAGUUGCAAAAUCGGUAAGGAUAAACAGCACAAUCUGGGAACUUCUAAUUCAGGCAGUAGAGAAGGUAGUUUGCAGGAGAUUAAGGGGAUGGAUACAGCCGGAGCUUCUAAUUCUACAGUAAACAAGAAAAGGAAACAACGUGAUGCAGUUGAUGCUAUUCUAUCUUCAGCUCUCAUAUCUUCAAAGAAGUCUGCAACCUCUGGGAAGUUAUUGCCUUCCAAAAGGCUGAAUCCUCAGAUGAAUACUAAAGUUCAAUCUUUUAGACCACCAAAAUCAGGAAAGGAUGCCGCUAGAAAUUCCAAGAAUGAUACAUAAUCAGAUUUGUGAAUACCAUGCUAUGAGAAUUCAUUUGGAGCCCUAAACGAGUUGCAUGGGUUAAGGAGCUGUUUACAGUCCAACACAACUAGACCAAAUGUAGAAGUUAACUCCACUGAACUACGUAAAGCUUGCACCACUUUCAUACAAUCAGACUCCACCACCACCUUGCUCCACUGCUUUGUUUUGACCCAGCUCAAAGCUUCCUUAACAGCUAUCACCUCUGCUAGAUCCGCGGAUGUUUUUCCGAUUUUGCUUGCCGCCUUAGCUCCUAACAAUCUUCCCGAAUGAUCACGAGCAACACACCCAAAACCAAAACAGUUUUCAUCAUCGAAAAGGGCUGCAUCCACAUUUAUCUUGAUUGUAUUUAUAUCUGGUUUCGUCCAACGCUCACAGUUUUUAGACUUUGAUUGUUGUUCCAAGUGACUUUUUCUUGUUUUCAUACAAUAUUUAGUAGGUGAAUUUCAAUUGUGCCUCUCAUUAAUGCAACUU